rnacentral:rRNA from 1 species
AUUGAACGCUGGCGGCAUGCUUUACACAUGCAAGUCGGACGGCAGCGGGGAGUGCUUGCACUCUGCCGGCGAGUGGCGAACGGGUGAGUAAUGCAUCGGAACGUACCGAGUAAUGGGGGAUAACUGUCCGAAAGGACAGCUAAUACCGCAUACGCCCUGAGGGGGAAAGCGGGGGAUCUUAGGACCUCGCGUUAUUCGAGCGGCCGAUGUCUGAUUAGCUAGUUGGUGGGGUAAAGGCCUACCAAGGCGACGAUCAGUAGCGGGUCUGAGAGGACGAUCCGCCACACUGGGACUGAGACACGGCCCAGACUCCUACGGGAGGCAGCAGUGGGGAAUUUUGGACAAUGGGCGCAAGCCUGAUCCAGCCAUGCCGCGUGUCUGAAGAAGGCCUUCGGGUUGUAAAGGACUUUUGUCAGGGAAGAAAAGGAGUUGGUUAAUACCCGAC